GCUUGAUGCAGCGACGCCGCGUGAGAGAUGACGGCUUCGGGUUGUAAACCUCUUUCAGCAGGGACGAAGCGUAAGUGACGGUACUGCAGAAGAAGCACGGCUAACUACGUGCCAGCAGCCGCGGUAAUACGUAGGGUGCGAGCGUUGUCCGGAAUUACUGGGCGUAAAGAGCUCGUAGGCGGUUUGUCACGUCGUCUGUGAAAUCCUAGGGCUUAACCCUGGACGUGCAGGCGAUACGGGCUGACUUGAGUACUACAGGGGAGACUGGAAUUUCUGGUGUAGCGGUGGAAUGCACAGAUAUCAGGAAGAACACCGAUGGCGAAGGCAGGUCUCUGGGUAGUAACUGACGCUGAGGAGCGAAAGCAUGGGUAGCGAACAGGAUUAGAUACCCUGGUAGUCCAUGCCGUAAACGGUGGGCGCUAGGUGUGGGGUUCCUUCCACGGGCUCCGCGCCGUAGCUAACGCAUUAAGCGCCCCGCCUGGGGAGUACGGCCGCAAGGCUAAAACUCAAAGAAAUUGACGGGGGCCCGCACAAGCGGCGGAGCAUGUGGAUUAAUUCGAUGCAACGCGAAGAACCUUACCUGGGCUUGACAUAUAGAGGAUCGCUACAGAGAUGUGGUUUCCCUUGUGGCUUCUAUACAGGUGGUGCAUGGUUGUCGUCAGCUCGUGUCGUGAGAUGUUGGGUUAAGUCCCGCAACGAGCGCAACCCUUGUCUUAUGUUGCCAGCACGUUAUGGUGGGGACUCGUGAGAGACUGCCGGGGUCAACUCGGAGGAAGGUGGGGAUGGCGUCAAAUCAUCAUGCCCCUUAUGUCAAGGGCUUCACACAUGCUACAAUGGCCGGUACAGAGGGCUGCGAUGCCGUGAGGCGGAGCGAAUCUCUUAAAGCCGGUCUCAGUUCGGAUUGGGGUCUGCAACUCGACCCCAUGAAGUCGGAGUCGCUAGUAAUCGCAGAUCAGCAACGCUGCGGUGAAUGUGUUCC
rnacentral:rRNA from 1 species